rnacentral:rRNA from 1 species
GACGUAGGUGGCGAACGUUAUCCGGAAUUAUUGGGCGUAAAGGAUGCGUAGAUGGUGUAGUAAGUUAUCGGUGGCAAAUCGAGGCUCAACCUCGUGGAAGUCGGUAAUACUGCUAUGCUAGAGGAUAGGAGGGGUUAACGGAACUCCCUGUGGAGCGGUGAAAUGCAUAGAUAUAGGGAAGAACACCAAUCAGGCGAAGGCAGUUAACUAUUCUAUUCCUGACAUUGAGGCAUGAAAGCGUGGGGAGCAAAACGG